CGAGGAAUCUUGGGCAAUGGGCGAAAGCCUGACCCAGCGACGCCGCGUGAGGGAUGAAGGCCUUCGGGUCGUAAACCUCUUUUGCGGGGGAAGAAGUUCUGACGGUACCCCGCGAAUAAGCCACGGCUAACUACGUGCCAGCAGCCGCGGUAAUACGUAGGUGGCGAGCGUUGUCCGGAUUUACUGGGCGUAAAGGGCUUGUAGGCGGUCCGUUAAGUCUGGUGUGAAAUCUCCCGGCUCAACUGGGAGGGGUCAUCGGAUUCUGGCGGACUUGUGGUGGGCAGAGGAAAGCGGAAUGCCCGGGGUAGCGGUGAAAUGCGUAGAUAUCGGGAGGAACACCAGUGGCGAAGGCGGCUUUCUGUGCCUAUCCUGACGCUGAGGAGCGAAAGCGUGGGGAGCGAACCGGAUUAGAUACCCGUGUAGUCC
rnacentral:rRNA from 1 species